GAUCAUGGCUCAGGAUGAACGCUAGCGGGAGGCCUAACACAUGCAAGCCGAGCGGGAUUCUAUCUUCGGAUAGAUGAGAGCGGCGUACGGGUGCGGAACACGUGUGCAACCUGCCUUUAUCUGGGGGAUAGCCUUUCGAAAGGGAGAUUAAUACCCCAUAAUAUAUUGAUUUGCAUGAAUUGAUAUUGAAAACUCCGGUGGAUAGAGAUGGGCACGCGCAAGAUUAGA
rnacentral:rRNA from 1 species